UACGAAGGGGGCUAGCGUUGUUCGGAUUUACUGGGCGUAAAGGGCGCGUAGGCGGCGCGAUAAGUCAGGCGUGAAAGCCCCGGGCUCAACCCGGGAAUAGCGCUUGAUACUGUUGCGCUUGAAUCCAGGAGAGGAUGGCGGAAUUCCCAGUGUAGAGGUGAAAUUCGUAGAUAUUGGGAAGAACACCAGUGGCGAAGGCGGCCAUCUGGCCUGGAAUUGACGCUGAGGCGCGAAAGCGUGGGGAGCAAACAGG
rnacentral:rRNA from 1 species